GCCCUUUACAACGCUGCGUUUCCAUGCUACAAACAGAGAGACGAGCGCAAGCCAGUCUCUCAAGAUCCGUCGGAUCGCCUCUUGCAUGUGGGAAAUUCGGAGUAUGCUUCACCUUCACCUCGGUCCUCGCCACCCGCUUGGAUCCGGUCUGCCAGCGAUGGCCCUGCGUCAUUCGACGUUUGCAAAUGACAUCAGAAAUCUCGGAGCCUGGGCCGCCGUGCAUACCCGCAAGGGGAAGACGGAUGGUCCCAGGUCUCUAUGGGAAGUCUUUGCGAGGCUUGUUGGGACUACAACUGAAGUGCGAUACGCGGCGUUUUGUCCUCUUGGGGUUCGCCUCGAGAGACAGAAUAACACAAUUCCGAUCAUUCUGUAAAGGGC
rnacentral:RNase_P_RNA from 1 species